AUUGAACGCUGGCGGCAGGCCUAACACAUGCAAGUCGAACGAGUGGCGGACGGGUGAGUAAUGUCUGGGAAACUGCCUGAUGGAGGGGGAUAACUACUGGAAACGGUAGCUAAUACCGCAUACCAUCAGAUAUGCCCAGAUGGGAUUAGCUUGUUGGUGGGGUAACGGCUCACCAAGGCGACGAUCCCUAGCUGGUCUGAGAGGAUGACGAGCCAACCUGGAACGGAAACACGGCACAGACUCCUACGGGAGGCAGCAGUGGAGAAGAUGGCAGAAUGGGGGCAAGCCUGAUGAAGCCAUGCCGCGUGUAUGAAGAAGGCCUUAGGGUUGUAAAGUACUUUCAGCGGGGAGGCGUUACCCACAGAAGAAGCACCGGCUAACUCCGUGCCAGCAGCCGCGGUAAUAC
rnacentral:rRNA from 1 species